CUCCGCUUGGUGUAGUUGGUUGUAUGUUCCACCAGUCUUUGACCGCAUAUUUCCCCUCCUAACAUAAUAUCAGUAUCACGUUCGGCUGUAAUAUCUAUUGUUACCGAAAGGUCCCUAGUUCGAUUCUGGGAGCGGAGA